rnacentral:rRNA from 1 species
ACGAACGCUGGCGGCGUGCUUAACACAUGCACGUCGAACGGAAAGGCCCCUUUGGGGGUCCUCGAGUGGCGAACGGGUGAGUAACACGUGAGUAACCUGCCCUUGACUUCGGGAUAACUUCAGGAAACUGGGGCUAAUACCGGAUAGGAAUCCUUGCUGCAUGGUGGGGGUUGGAAAGCUUCGGCGGUUUUGGAUGGACUCGCGGCUUAUCAGCUUGUUGGUGGGGUAGUGGCUUACCAAGGCUUUGACGGGUAGCCGGCCUGAGAGGGCGACCGGCCACAUUGGGACUGAGAUACGGCCCAGACUCCUACGGGAGGCAGCAGUGGGGAAUAUUGCACAAUGGGCGGAAGCCUGAUGCAGCAACGCCGCGUGCGGGAUGACGGCCUUCGGGUUGUAAACCGCUUUCAGCAGGGGCGAAGCUUGUGGUGACGGUACCUGCAGAAGAAGCACCGGCUAACUACGUG